GGUUGUGUAGUGUAGUGGUUAUCACUCUGGAUUUUGAUUUCUAUCAACCCUUCCAGUAACCCCGGUUCGAACCCGGGCACGACCU